UACGGGGGGGGUAAGCGUUGUUCGGAAUUACUGGGCGUAAAGAGCGCGCAGGCGGUCGUGCAAGUCGCGUGUGAAAGCCCCCGGCUCAACUGGGGAGGGUCACGCGAUACUGCUCGACUCGAAGGCAGGAGAGGGAAGUGGAAUUCCCGGUGUAGUGGUGAAAUGCGUAGAUAUCGGGAGGAACACCAGUGGCGAAGGCGACUUCCUGGCCUGUUCUUGACGCUGAGGCGCGAAAGCUAGGGGAGCAAACGGG
rnacentral:rRNA from 1 species